AGCGGAGGGAUCAUUACCGAGUUUACAACUCCCAAACCCCUGUGAACAUACCUUAUGUUGCCUCGGCGGAUCAGCCCGCGCCCCGUAAAAAGGGACGGCCCGCCGCAGGAACCUUAAACUCUGUUUUUAGUGGAACUUCUGAGUAUAAAAAACAAAUAAAUCAAAACUUUCAACAACGGAUCUCUUGGUUCUGGCAUCGAUGAAGAACGCAGCAAAAUGCGAUAAGUAAUGUGAAUUGCAGAAUUCAGUGAAUCAUCGAAUCUUUGAACGCACAUUGCGCCCGCCAGUAUUCUGGCGGGCAUGCCUGUUCGAGCGUCAUUUCAACCCUCAAGCCCAGCUUGGUGUUGGGAGCUGCAGUCCUGCUGCACUCCCCAAAUACAUUGGCGGUCACGUCGAGCUUCCAUAGCGUAGUAAUUUACAUAUCGUUACUGGUAAUCGUCGCGGCCACGCCGUUAAACCCCAACUUCUGAAUGUUGACCUCGGAUCAGGUAGGAAUACCCGCUGAACUUAAGCAUAUCAAUAAGC
rnacentral:rRNA from 1 species